UAUAUAUAUAUAUAGAUUUUUUUUCCCAGUUUAUUCUUUUCCUACUUUGGUCUGGUUUGAGGAGACAUUGGAAAACUUGGGGAGCUCUUUCCUUUUUUUAAUUGAAUUAUUUUGGUGAUGCUUGUUGGACGAAUCGAAUUCAGUGGAACCGAAUACGUUUCUAUUCUGUCUAAAGAUCCCCCGUGAAUUAUGUCUAAAUGCUGCGGAAACGAUGAGCUUUAUUUCAUCAGAGUUUUCUGUAUACAGGGAAGAUCUGUGAUGUCCAAUGUGUAAAAAUUUGUGUAAAUGAAAGAAGAAAAAGAAAGAAACAUGACUCUAAACAUAAACAUCAAACACAAAGAAGAAGCUUAUAUAGAAAGCAGAAGAAAAUCCUGACAGUGAGAACAAACUCACAACACGAUUGGUGAAUUCUCAGCUAGACCCUGAAACCGACGCGAUGACGAGUUCACACUGGCGGGUGUUGGUCAGCUGUCUGCCUUACGAUCCGUACAGUUCUGUCAUUGGCCUGGAAGAAGCUCCGAGCCGUUUUCAACCAUCCAGAUGAUGGAGUGAAACUGUCAGUGGAGGAGACGGAACCAGCACGGACCCAGAGCUCAGUGCGACCGUUCUACUCCGACUACGAUGGACCAGAUUCUCCAGCGGUUGUUGGACAUCUGUCUGUCUGCAGAUUAACGCCGUGGAAGAGGAGCAGGAACCUGUUCACGCGUCAAGAUGAUGAUGUGAGAGCCGGAGGAGGAAACGUUCCAGGCUCCGUCCAGCCGUUCUCAACGAACUUCAGAACCUACGACGCGUUAGACACCGACCCGACUCAGUCUGACCUCACACUGUUUGAUUGUAAUAUACGUGUUACAAAUUAAAAAUGCAUAUUGUGGA